rnacentral:tRNA from 1 species
CUCUCUGUAGCGCAGCUGGGAGCGCGCCUGUUUCGGGAACAGGAGGUCGCGUGUUCGAUUCACGCCAGGGAGACCA